UGAAUCAUCAGAAUGCUGAAUGUAAAUUACACC
rnacentral:rRNA from 1 species